UACGUAGGGUGCGAGCGUUAAUCGGAAUUACUGGGCGUAAAGCGUGCGCAGGCGGUGAUGUAAGACAGAUGUGAAAUCCCCGGGCUUAACCUGGGAACUGCAUUGGUGACUGGCAGGCUUUGAGUGUGGCAGAGGGAGGUAGAAUUCCACGUGUAGCAGUGAAAUGCGUAGAGAUGUGGAGGAAUACCGAUGGCGAAGGCAGCCUCCUGGGCCAACACUGACGCUCAUGCACGAAAGCGUGGGGAGCAAACAGG
rnacentral:rRNA from 1 species